UGGGGAAUAUUGCACAAUGGGCGCAAGCCUGAUGCAGCCAUGCCGCGUGUAUGAAGAAGGCCUUCGGGUUGUAAAGUACUUUCAGCGAGGAGGAAGGCGUUGUGGUUAAUAACCGCAGCGAUUGACGUUACUCGCAGAAGAAGCACCGGCUAACUCCGUGCCAGCAGCCGCGGUAAUACGGAGGGUGCAAGCGUUAAUCGGAAUUACUGGGUGUAAAGCGCACGCAGGCGGUCUGUCAAGUCGGAUGUGAAAUCCCCGGGCUCAACCUGGGAACUGCAUCCGAAACUGGCAGGCUAGAGUCUUGUAGAGGGGGGUAGAAUUCCAGGUGUAGCGGUGAAAUGCGUAGAGAUCUGGAGGAAUACCGGUGGCGAAGGCGGCCCCCUGGACAAAGACUGACGUUCAGGUGCGAAAGCGUGGGGAGCAAACA
rnacentral:rRNA from 1 species